rnacentral:rRNA from 1 species
GAGGUNCCGCCUGCGCUGUGACUAUAUGUUUAACGGCCGCGGUAUUUUGACCGUGCGAAGGUAGCGCAAUCACUUGUCUUUUAAAUGGAGACCUGUAUGAAUGGCAUAACGAGGGCUUGACUGUCUCCUCUUUCAAGUCAAUGAAAUUGAUCUCCCCGUGAAGAAGCGGGGAUAAGCACAUAAGACGAGAAGACCCUAUGGAGCUUUAGA